AGAGUUUGAUCCUGGCUCAGGACGAACGCUGGCGGCGUGCCUAAUACAUGCAAGUAGAACGCUGAAGAGAGGAGCUUGCUCUUCUUGGAUGAGUUGCGAACGGGUGAGUAACGCGUAGGUAACCUGCCUUGUAGCGGGGGAUAACUAUUGGAAACGAUAGCUAAUACCGCAUAACAAUGGAUGACACAUGUCAUUUAUUUGAAAGGGGCAAUUGCUCCACUACAAGAUGGACCUGCGUUGUAUUAGCUAGUAGGUGAGGUAACGGCUCACCUAGGCGACGAUACAUAGCCGACCUGAGAGGGUGAUCGGCCACACUGGGACUGAGACACGGCCCAGACUCCUACGGGAGGCAGCAGUAGGGAAUCUUCGGCAAUGGGGGCAACCCUGACCGAGCAACGCCGCGUGAGUGAAGAAGGUUUUCGGAUCGUAAAGCUCUGUUGUAAGUCAAGAACGAGUGUGAGAGUGGAAAGUUCACACUGUGACGGUAGCUUACCAGAAAGGGACGGCUAACUACGUGCCAGCAGCCGCGGUAAUACGUAGGUCCCGAGCGUUGUCCGGAUUUAUUGGGCGUAAAGCGAGCGCAGGCGGUUAGAUAAGUCUGAAGUUAAAGGCUGUGGCUUAACCAUAGUUCGCUUUGGAAACUGUCAAACUUGAGUGCAGAAGGGGAGAGUGGAAUUCCAUGUGUAGCGGUGAAAUGCGUAGAUAUAUGGAGGAACACCGGUGGCGAAAGCGGCUCUCUGGUCUGUAACUGACGCUGAGGCUCGAAAGCGUGGGGAGCAAACAGGAUUAGAUACCCUGGUAGUCCACGCCGUAAACGAUGAGUGCUAGGUGUUAGACCCUUUCCGGGGUUUAGUGCCGUAGCUAACGC
rnacentral:rRNA from 1 species